rnacentral:lncRNA from 10 species
CUCCUCUCCAUUGGAUCUCUAGCACCUAGAAUAGAGCUGGGUACACAUGAUGAGGUGCUUAAUACGUAUUUGUCAAAUUGAAUGUCAAGUUUUAGGAGUUUAAAGAGUGUUUUCAAAUGGGGAGAAGCCGAGACACAAAUAGUCUCAGGAAUGAGAUGAAAUUAUUUAACCAAUUGGAGAUGAAAUUCGAAAUGGAAACUAUGACAUGACUCAACAUCCUCAAGCCCUGAAGUAAUAAUUAGCACAUAAAGUUGGUCUGUUAUGGACUUUGUGUUGUGCUCCCUGCAAAAUUGGAUACAGAGAGAAGACAGCUGUCUGCAAACCAGAAAGAGAGUCCUCACUGCACUUCAUAUCUGCCAAUGGAUCCUUGCUCUUGAACCUCCCAACCUGCAGAAUCAUGAGAAACAAACAUUGUGUAAGCCACCCACUCUACAGUAAUUUGUUCUAGCAGACCGAGCUGACUGAGGUUAAAAUUCCUAUGCGAAUCUGACUGACCCAGCUUGGGCUUCAUUCCAACCUCUUGGCUAGAUAAGAGUGUGGAACCUUAACUGAUGGUCCCUUUGACUGCCCGCCACAAGGGAAGAUCCAAAGUGUGGCAGAGAGUGACCAGGUCCCAGACAGGCAAAAUCAGCAGAUGUCCAUUCGCAAGCCAAAAGAGCUCCAGAAAAUGUUCUCUUUGAAUAGAAACCAUGUUUGCUAUACUCAUCCUGGAAAGUGGCCAUCCUGCUGGUCCUUAGAGCAGGCUGUGCCUGGGAGCCAUCUUUGAAUAUCCUCUGAGCUCAGAGGGAGAGACAUACCUCUAGUGAGGAUCCUGGAAACCUCCGUGUGACAUUGUGGCAAGAGAGCAAGCUGGUAGUUCGCAAAGGGCUGCCGCCAUUCAGAGGCUGGGACCUCAGGAAGAUCUUUGGCACAAUCUACUAGACACGUUUCAUUAAUAAAUGAUUAGAUUUGCAAAUCUUGUCAGUAGAGAUUGCUAUCACAGAAUUAAUGAAAUAAAUAAUGAAACAUU